rnacentral:rRNA from 1 species
GAUGAACGCUGGCGGCGUGCUUAACACAUGCAAGUCGAACGGUGAAGCUCAGCUUGCUGGGUGGAUCAGUGGCGAACGGGUGAGUAACACGUGAGCAAUCUGCCCCUGACUCUGGGAUAAGCGCUGGAAACGGCGUCUAAUACUGGAUACGAACCGUGGAGGCAUCUUCAACGGUUGGAAAGAUUUUUUGGUCAGGGAUGAGCUCGCGGCCUAUCAGCUUGUUGGUGAGGUAAUGGCUCACCAAGGCGUCGACGGGUAGCCGGCCUGAGAGGGUGACCGGCCACACUGGGACUGAGACACGGCCCAGACUCCUACGGGAGGCAGCAGUGGGGAAUAUUGCACAAUGGGCGAAAGCCUGAUGCAGCAACGCCGCGUGAGGGAUGACGGCCUUCGGGUUGUAAACCUCUUUUAGCAGGGAAGAAGCGAAAGUGACGGUACCUGCAGAAAAAGCGCCGGCUAACUACGUGCCAGCCGCCGCGGUAA